rnacentral:lncRNA from 1 species
AUGCCUGAAGAUUGUAAUGAAUUCAUGCAACAUGUAAUGCCACUAGCAUGCAGCAGAGGGCAAAAGAGCUUGAGCUUCACUGAAAAGCUUGAUUCCAACACCCCUGCAGCCAGUCUAGCUCUGUCAAUGAAUCCUCUACACAUCUACACCUGCAGCUCUGCUGGAGCCGCCACAAGCCCUGGGGGUACCUCCUCAGAAAAUUCAGCAGCUGACCAUGUCGUUUCCACAUGAUCUGGAUAGAAGCUUA